CCUCUGCUGGCGCCUCAGUACAGACAGCAGAGCUGCAUUUGCAGCAGGUUCUGCCACCAGCCCUAGGGGAGAUCUUGGGAGCUUUGCAGCAACUUGGCAUCUCCUGAGUCGCCAGAGAGAGGCUGUCUUGUACUGAGUGCUGAGGAGGGGGCGCCGGGUGGCUUCACUGGGCAAGCUGGUUGCUGAGCUGCACAGGCCUUUGCAUUUUCUGGGCUGUUCCCGUGUUUCAUUCCACCCCUUCCAGGACAGUUUUUGAACAAGACGUAUUUUACUAAAGGACUCAUGGAUUGCGGGGUCUCACGACAUCACCUCAUAGAUGCAGUCGAUGGUUUGCUCCAGAUUCAGGUUUGUUUCCAGGAAGAAACCCUAACAGAAAUUCAGAAGCAUGGGAGCUGCAAUCAAUUAGGACGUGGAUCCAUGAAAUGCUCGUCUCAGGACCUUCUAGAAGAAUGAGCUGGGACCCACGUUCCGAGUCCUGCUGGACCCAGAGACCGAGAUCCAGGCUUGUUUCCGGUAAGAAACCCUGACAGAAAUUCAGAAGAAUGGGAGCUGCAUUCCAUUAGGAUGUGAAUACACGAAAUGUUCUUCUCAGGACCUUCUAGAAGAAUGAGCUGGGACCCACUUUCCAAGUCCUGCUGGAACCAGAGACCGAGCUGUACCUGUGACACAGGACACGAGAGAACGUGCUCAUGUGAACACAAGUGAAGGACACCGUGGGGACUUGCCACACAGAGUAUUUAUGCCCAGGGCACACCUGAGGGGAUUCUGGACAGCAUGUUUACCAAAAUGCUGAUGGGUAUGAAAUUUACUUUGUCUAAGACCAUUCUAAAUGACACAUACAAAAAUAUAGGUUGGAGUGAAGGCAGUUCGCAUUUUCAAAUUGUAAGGAUACCCACAGGUUUUUCUGACCACGUUAAAACCCUCGAAAGAAGGAAACAGGAGAGGAAGACACAGCAAGAGCAAUAAUUCCACAUUGAGGAGAUCCACAGAGAAUGAGCCAAAGUAGGAGACUUCCAAGUGGAGGGUGGUGUCAUCCUCCUUGAUUUAUUCCAGGAACACAUUGGAAAAGCCCUAUGGUCCCCACCUUUAGGCAUGCUUAGCUGCUCAAGUUACCACAAACAGAUGCCAGCUGGAAAACAGGGAAGCCCGUAGACUCGGCGGUAAAAGUUUUGCAUUUGGGAAAAAAACAAAAACAGCAGACAUACCAUACGACACACAAACCAGAGAUAAUGGCAGGAGAGUGUCCUGUACAGAAAGAUGUGGCUGUCCGUAAAGACUUAUAACUGAAAAUGGCCACAGCAUUUACUUUGUGCUUCUCGGCAGUUUUGGCAGAGCCAAUGUCGAUGUCACUCUUGGUUGUGACACCUACUUGUGGACCUGCAAAAAGCCCUAGAAUGGAUGGAGGUUUAUUCUGAUUUGAGUAGACUGUUUGGAGAUCAAAAACAAAAGACCCUCCCCUGAUACUUCCGACAACUUAAACUCUUUGCCCCAGUGAGACCCCAAAUUACAUGCACAGGGUGUCCCACAUACCUCCAGUGAUCCCCAAGAAGAACUUGAAGAACCAUCCCUUAUAACUUGAUGAAGACUCCUAAAAAUCCCUGAUUCAGAUGUAUUCAUCACUCAGCGAACAACUAUGGAUGGCUGGGGGCACAACUAGAUGGACAUACGUUAUGUUUUGCCUCAUGCCUCACAGAUCCCAGCACGUGGACUGUGUACAGGGCACUUCUGGUGAAGCGCUACGUCUGCUUUUCUGCAUACGGCCCCAUUCCUUCUCCACAAGAGACGCCUGUACCAACCCAUGGUGGGGGAAAGGACAAAGAUGAGAUCCUGAGAAACUUGAGGAAUAUGGUAAUGGCAGCAGACACAUUCCCCUUGCAUCACAAUGGUCUGUGGUACCGCCUCUGCACCUUGGCCCAAGACCUAACAGCAACAAAAAUAAGGGUUGCAAAGACGAGGGCCAUGAAGUGGCACUACCACAUUGAUGGGUAUGAUUCAUUGUACGACACACUGCUUUCCUACAGAUUAUGACAAUUGACACCACCCCGGAGGAAUGUUAGCAUGGACAAAGUUUCCACACAGUCUGGCCACUACUUGAGAU